AUAACUUCUUGGCCUUUUGGCUAAGAUCAAGUGUAAUAUUAUGUUUGCUUUUUUUUUUAAGAUUUUAUUUAUUUUUGAGAGAGAGAGAACACAAGCGGGCAGGCGGGGAGGGGGGCAGAGGGAGAAGCAGACUCCCU
ensembl:snRNA U2 U2 spliceosomal RNA